rnacentral:rRNA from 1 species
UGGCGGACGGGUGAGUAAUGUCUGGGGAAACUGCCUGAUGGAGGGGGAUAACUACUGGAAACGGUAGCUAAUACCGCAUAACGUCGCAAGACCAAAGAGGGGGACCUUCGGGCCUCUUGCCAUCGGAUGUGCCCAGAUGGGAUUAGCUAGUAGGUGGGGUAACGGCUCACCAGGCGACGAUCCCUAGCUGGUCUGAGAGGAUGACCAGCCACACUGGAACUGAGACACGGUCCAG